UGCCAGUCAGCCUGGAAUACACCCCUGCUUCCUGUGAGGAAGCCUGGCACCUCAGACUUCAGACUGGUACAGGAUUUGUGGGAGCCUGCCUCUAGCACCUGUGAGCCAGCCCCUCUUUGCCUUCAAAUGGACUGACCCAGACACCGGAACUACCAGACAGCUGACAUGAACCCGGCUGCUGCAGGGAUUCAAAAACUCCCCCACUCUGUUUGGGGAAGCUCUCAGCAAAGAUUUACAAGAGGUAAGAAAAAAAAAACCUGAAUACACAGAUAAAGAAGUAGCAGAAAUGAACAGGAGACACUGGACUCGAGGAAAACAUGGAUGGUGGAGGACUAAGGAUGGAAAGGUGGUGCUCCCAGCCGCUGUAGCAGAUACAUUGCUGCGAGAACUACAUGAGUCCACCCACCUCGGCGAGAAAAGGAUGAUGGCUGCCCUGCGACCUCAUUUUGUCAGCGAGGGAUUAGCCCAAAAGGCCCAGG
rnacentral:lncRNA from 1 species